CAACUACAGCCCCUACUUCAAGACCAUCAAGGAGCUGCAGGACAAGAUUCUUGUGGCCACCAUUAAGCACUCCAAGAUUGUCCUGCAGAUUGACAAUGCCUGUCUGGCUGCAGAUG
rnacentral:pre_miRNA from 10 species